rnacentral:lncRNA from 1 species
UAUUAUUUAAGUGAAAGUACUGUGAACUGUAAAUAAAACAACGAUAAGAGAAAGUUAAUAUGGUGUGAAGUAAAUAAUAAUAAGAUGCCAAAUUAUUGUAUGAAAUUAUGUGAAAAUAAAAUUAAAAUUAAAAAUAAAAUAAAAAUAUAGAGGGAAUAAAGCGAGGGUGAAAAUAAAGGUAGAAAUGUUGCAUUAUAAAAUAAAACAAAAAUUGUAGGCCUUGAAUUAAUGGUUGUCUAACUUGAAGAGAGAUUGAAAAUAAAAAUUAGGAAAA